AUUGAACGCUGGCGGCAGGCCUAACACAUGCAAGUCGAGCGGAUGAGUGGAGCUUGCUCCAUGAUUCAGCGGCGGACGGGUGAGUAAUGCCUAGGAAUCUGCCUGGUAGUGGGGGACAACGUUUCGAAAGGAACGCUAAUACCGCAUACGUCCUACGGGAGAAAGCAGGGGACCUUCGGGCCUUGCGCUAUCAGAUGGGCCUAGGUCGGAUUAGCUAGUAGGUGAGGUAAAGACUCACCUAGGCGACGAUCCGUAACUGGUCUGAGAGGAUGAUCAGGCACACUGGAACGGAGACACGGUCCAGACUCCUACGGGAGGCAGCAGUGGGGAAUAUUGGACAAUGGGCGAAAGCCUGAUCCAGCCAUGCCGCGUGUGUGAAGAAGGUCUUCGGAUUGUAAAGCACUUUAAGUUGGGAGGAAGGGCAGUAAGUUAAUACCUUGCUGUUUUGACGUUACCAACAGAAUAAGCACCGGCUAACUUCGUGCCAGCAGCCGCCGUAA
rnacentral:rRNA from 1 species